rnacentral:rRNA from 1 species
CGUAGCUGAUGGGAACCACAUUAAUAUUUGUGGGCCUGGUGGAAGUGACGGAUUAAGUAAGUUGUACAUUUUAUUGGAUUAGAUGUGCUUUGAAUUAGUUCCAGGAAAUAGCUCCACCGCAUAGACCGUACCCUAAACCGACACAGGUGGUUAGGUAGAGAAUACUAAGGCGCUUGAGAGAACUGCGUUGAAGGAACUCGGCAAAUUGCACGCGUAACUUAGGGAUAAGCGUGACCUUUAUUUGGGCAACCAGAUAGAGGUGUCACAAACUAGGGGGUAGCGACUGUUUACCAAAAACACAGGGCUCUGCGAAGUCGUAAGACGAAGUAUAGGGCCUGACGCCUGCCCGGUGCUGGAAGGUUAAUAGGAGGGGUGAGAGCUCUGAAUUGAAGCCCCAGUAAACGGCGGCCGUAACUAUAACGGUCCUAAGGUAGCGAAAUUCCUUGUCGGGUAAGUUCCGACCUGCACGAAUGGCGUAACGACCUCCCCACUGUCUCCAACGCAGACUCAGUGAAAUUGAAUUCCCCGUGAAGAUGCGGGGUUCCUGCGGUUAGACGGAAAGACCCCGUGCACCUUUACUAUAGCUUUACAUUGGCAUUUGUAUUGACAUGUGUAGGAUAGGUGGUAGGCAUUGAAGCAGAGGCGCUAGUUUUUGUGGAGCCAUCCUUGAAAUACCACCCUUAUUGAUGUGGAUGUCUAACCGCGCACCGUUAUCCGGUGCCGGGACAUUGUAUGGUGGGUAGUUUGACUGGGGCGGUCGCCUCCGAAAGAGUAACGGAGGCGCGCGAUGGUAGGC